CUGCGAAUGGCUCAUUAUAUAAGUUAUCGUUUAUUUGAUAGUACCUUACUACUUGGAUAACCGUGGUAAUUCUAGAGCUAAUACAUGCUAAAAAUCCCGACUUCGGAAGGGAUGUAUUUAUUAGAUUAAAAACCAAUGCCCUCUGGGCUCCUUGGUGAUUCAUGAUAACUUUUCGAAUCGCAUGGCCUUGCGCCGGCGAUGGUUCAUUCAAAUUUCUUCCCUAUCAACUUUCGAUGUUUGGGUAUUGGCCAAACAUGGUCGCAACGGGUAACGGAGGGUUAGGGCUCGACCCCGGAGAAGGAGCCUGAGAAACGGCUACUACAUCCAAGGAAGGCAGCAGGCGCGCAAAUUACCCAAUCCCGAUUCGGGGAGGUAGUGACAAUAAAUACUGAUACAGGGCUCUUUUGGGUCUUGUAAUUGGAAUGAGUACAAUUUAAAUCCCUUAACGAGGAACAAUUGGAGGGCAAGUCUGGUGCCAGCAGCCGCGGUAAUUCCAGCUCCAAUAGCGUAUAUUAAAGUUGUUGUGGUUAAAAAGCUCGUAGUUGAACCUUGGGCCUGGCUGGCCGGUCCGCCUCACCGCGUGUACUGGUCCGGCCGGGCCUUUCCCUCUGUGGAACCCCAUGCCCUUCACUGGGUGUGGCGGGGAAACAGGACUUUUACUUUGAAAAAAUUAGAGUGCUCCAGGCAGGCCUAUGCUCGAAUACAUUAGCAUGGAAUAAUAAAAUAGGACGUGUGGUUCUAUUUUGUUGGUUUCUAGGACCGCCGUAAUGAUUAAUAGGGACAGUCGGGGGCAUCAGUAUUCAAUUGUCAGAGGUGAAAUUCUUGGAUUUAUUGAAGACUAACUACUGCGAAAGCAUUUGCCAAGGAUGUUUUCAUUAAUCAGGAACGAAAGUUAGGGGAUCGAAGACGAUCAGAUACCGUCGUAGUCUUAACCAUAAACUAUGCCGACUAGGGAUCGGACGAUGUUAUUUUUUGACGCGUUCGGCACCUUACGAGAAAUCAAAGUGCUUGGGCUCCAGGGGGAGUAUGGUCGCAAGGCUGAAACUUAAAGAAAUUGACGGAAGGGCACCACCAGGGGUGGAGCCUGCGGCUUAAUUUGACUCAACACGGGGAAACUCACCAGGUCCAGACACAAUGAGGAUUGACAGAUUGAGAGCUCUUUCUUGAUUUUGUGGGUGGUGGUGCAUGGCCGUUCUUAGUUGGUGGAGUGAUUUGUCUGCUUAAUUGCGAUAACGAACGAGACCUUAACCUGCUAAAUAGCCCGUAUUGCUUUGGCAGUACGCUGGC
rnacentral:rRNA from 1 species